rnacentral:miRNA from 1 species
AAGGCGGCGGCGGCGGCCG